AACGAACGCUGGCGGCAUGCCUAACACAUGCAAGUCGAACGAGACCUUCGGGUCUAGUUGCGCACGGGUGCUUAACGCGUGGGAACCUGCCCUUAGGUUCGGAAUAACUCCCCUAAGGGUGUGCUAAUACCGGAUAAUGUCUUCGGACCAAAGAUUUAUCGCCUUUGGAUGGGCCCGCGUUGGAUUAGCUAGUUGGUAGGGUAAAAGCCUACCAAGGCGACGAUCCAUAGCUGGUCUGAGAGGAUGAUCAGCCACACUGGGACUGAGACACGGCCCAGACUCCUACGGGAGGCAGCAGUGGGGAAUAUUGGACAAUGGGCGAAAGCCUGAUCCAGCAAUGCCGCGUGAGUGAUGAAGGCCUUAGGGUUGUAAAGCUCUUUUACCCGGGAUGAUAAUGACAGUACCGGGAGAAUAAGCUCCGGCUAACUACGUG
rnacentral:rRNA from 1 species